CGCCGAUGCACUGGGUACCACCGAUGCACUGGGCAUCACCGUGCUGGAAAUCACCGUGCCUGGCACCACCGAUGCACCGGGUACCGCCAAGGCACCACGUACCACCGAUGCACUGGGUACUGCCGAUGCACCAGGUACCACCGAUGCACCAGGUACCACCGUGCUGGAAAUCACCGUGCCUGGCACCACCGAUGCACCAGGUACCACCGAUGCACCAGGUACCACCGAUGCACCAGGUACCACCGAUGCACUGGGCACUACCGUGCUGGAAAUCCCUGUGCCAGGCACCACCGAUGCACCGGGUACCGCCGACGCACCGGGCAUCGCUGAUGCACCGGGUACCGCCGAUGCGCUGGGCACCGCCGUGCCGGGAACUGCCAACGCACCACCGUUGCACCGGGCAACUCCGUGCCCAGCAUCAGCGUGCUGGAUAUCACCGUCCCGGGCACUAGGGGUGUUGGGUGUCACCGUGCCGGGCUGGGGCACCGCUGUGGUGACGGGCACCGGCGCGCCGCGACGCUGAACCGGGCAGGGACACCACCGUGCUGGGUACCACCGAUGCACCGGGCAUCGCCGUGCCGGGCCGUGGCACCGCGGGUGCAGCAGGCAUCACCGUACUGGAAAUCACCGUGCCAGGCAGUGGCACCAUCACCAGCAAACUGGACACCAGCACCACGCCAGGCACCAGCACCGCUCCGGGCACCGCCGUGCCGUGUGCACCACCGUGCUGUGCACCACCGUGUGUGCACCACCGUGCCAUGUGCACCACCGUGCACUGUGCAGCACCGUGCACCACCGUGCCAUGUGCACCUCCGUGCCUUGCACCACCGUGCCAUGUGCACCACCGUGCUGUGCACCACCGUGUGCGCACCUCCGUGCCUUGCACCACCAUGCACUGUGCAGCGCCGUGCACCGCCGUGCCGUGUGCACCUCCGUGACUUGCACCGCUGUGCCAUGUGCACCACCGUGCACUGUGCAGUGCCGUGCACCGUGCCAUGUGCACGUCCGUGCACCACUGUGCCAUGU
rnacentral:lncRNA from 1 species